rnacentral:rRNA from 1 species
GUCCUUUUGAUUAUAAUUUAAGGUCUGGCCUGCCCAAUGAGUAUUUAAAUGGCCGCGGUAUUUUGACCGUGCAAAGGUAGCAUAAUCAUUAGUUUUUUAAUUGGAAGCUGGAAUGAACGGUCGGACGAGAAAGUGACUGUCUCAAUUUAAUUUUUGGUAGAACUUUAUUUGUAAGUAAAAAAGCUUACAUUGUUUUGAAAGACGAGAAGACCCUAUAGAAUUUUAUAAGUUGGUGUUUUAUUAUUUUUAGUAUUUUAGUUGAAUUAAGAUAUUUGCUUGUUUUGUUGGGGCGACAGAGAAAUUGAGUUAACUUUCUUUUUACUUUUUCAUUAAUUAAUGUUUAGUUGAUCCGUUUUUUACGAUUAUAAGAUAAAAUUACCUUAGGGAUAACAGCGUAAUUUUUCUCAGGAGUUCUUAUCUAAAGAAGAGUUUGCGACCUCGAUGUUGGAUUAAAAUUAACUUUUGGUGCAGUAGCUAAAUGGUUAGGUCUGUUCGACCUUUAAAAUUUUACAUGAUCUGAGU